rnacentral:rRNA from 1 species
UUUUAUGAGAGUUUGAUCCUGGCUCAGGAUGAACGCUGGCGGCGUGCCUAACACAUGCAAGUCGAGCGAGAAAUAGGGAAGCUGCGGUUUCGACCAAAGCAUCUCUAUGGAAAGCGGCGGACGGGUGAGUAACGCGUAGGCAACCUGCCCACAGGAGAGGGACAGCCUCGGGAAACCGGGAUUAAAACCUCAUAACACGGAAAGUCC